rnacentral:rRNA from 1 species
AUUGAACGCUGGCGGCAUGCUUUACACAUGCAAGUCGAACGGCAGCGCGGGCUUCGGCCUGGCGGCGGGUGGCGAACGGGUGAGUAAUACAUCGGAACGUGCCCAGUAGUGGGGGAUAGCUCGGCGAAAGCCGGAUUAAUACCGCAUACGACCUGAGGGUGAAAGCGGGGGAUCUUCGGACCUCGCGCUAUUGGAGCGGCCGAUGGCAGAUUAGCUAGUUGGUGGGGUAAAGGCCUACCAAGGCGACGAUCUGUAGCUGGUCUGAGAGGACGACCAGCCACACUGGGACUGAGACACGGCCCAGACUCCUACGGGGGGCAGCAGUGGGGAAUUUUGGACAAUGGGCGAAAGCCUGAUCCAGCAAUGCCGCGUGUGUGAUGAAGGCCUUCGGGUUGUAAAGCACUUUUGGCGGGAACGAAAAGGACUGUGCCAAUACCACGGUUCGAUGACGGUACCCGCAGAAUAAGCACCGGCUAACUACGUG